CCUACGGGAGGCAGCAGUGAGGAAUAUUAGACAAUGGGCGAAAGCCUGAUCUAGCCAUGCCGCGUGCAGGAUGACGGCCCUAUGGGUUGUAAACUGCUUUUAUACAGGAAGAAAAAACUCUACGUGUAGAGUCUUGACGGUACUGUAAGAAUAAGGAUCGGCUAACUCCGUGCCAGCAGCCGCGGUAAU
rnacentral:rRNA from 2 species